rnacentral:rRNA from 1 species
AUUGAACGCUGGCGGCAAGCCUAACACAUGCAAGUCGAACGAGUGGCGGAAGGGUGAGUAAUGUCUGGGAAACUGCCUGAUGGAGGGGGAUAACUACUGGAAACGGUAGCUAAUACCGCAUCCCAUCGGAUGUGCCCAGAUGGGAUUAGCUAGUAGGUGGGGUAAAGGCUCAACUAGGCGACGAUCCCUAGCUGGUUUGAGAGGAUGACCAGCCACAUGGGAAUUGAGAAACGGUCCAGACUCCUACGUGAGGCAGCAGUGGGGAAUAUUGCACAAUGGGAGCAAGCCUGAUGCAGCCAUGCCGCGUGUAUGAAGAAGGCCUUCGGGUUUUAAAGUACUUUCAGCGGGGCGGCGUUACCCGCAGAAGAAGCACCGGCUAACUCCGUGCCAGCAGCCGCGGUAAUAC